UAAAUUUAUUUUCAUAAUUUCAAUGACCAUAGUUUUUGAAAAAGGCGAAAUUUAAUUACGGAUCACAGCGGAUGUUGUCAGAAAUUCGCAGUCGCUGCUAAAUUUUCGGCCCGACAUCGAAAAAGCUCUGAAAGCAAGAUAUGGGGACCAUGGGCUCUCGGGUGUUUGCACCGACUUUUACAGGCCUAUUCUUACUGUUACCGGUAAAGUAAAUUUUGCUACAUCGAAAUGGAGGACGGAGCACAACAAAAUAAAUAACUUUUAUUUAUUUGUUUAUUAAGUUAUAAAUAAUUGAAAAGCAUAGGCGUAUAUUUUGAGAGCUCAACAACAACAGCACAAAUUGGAAGAAAGUUAAAUAAGAGAUUAUUUACGAUUUGGUAACAAAGCUCGAUUGUCAAACAAAUGGCCAUGAUUUAAGCAAAGUUUAUAUUUGGACUAAUGUUCAUUUCUGGAGCUGUGUGAUAUUCUAGACUUGCGAGAAUUAUAUGAAAUUUUAUUAUAACCGUUUUGAUUUUAUUAAGAAUAACAUACAGAAAGAAAUCUGAACAUUUUAACAAAUUAAGUAAUAUGGCGACUUAUGACCAAAACUUUAUUUUGUUUUGUUAGCCCCGUUAGAAAAGUUGAACUCUUUGAGAAUAGAAUUUUGCCAUUGAACUUAGAAUAUGUUUCAGGUUGAAAACUUGUGUAAUCAUAUUGGAUGUGCAAAUCGUUCGGAAGUACAGCGAGCUCUAAAGCAAAGAACGACAAAAAAGUUUUGAAAAAUUGAACAACCUAAAUGCAGGAAAUAUAAUUAUGGCGGUUAGGUCCUCAAAUUCGUGUUUUCAAAGCAGUACUUUUCAAUUUGUGAGCUUGAGAAUUAAGAAUACUAUAUAUUGCAACGAAACACCUUAGAUUAUUAAAUAAAAGUCGCAAAACUUAUUGUACAGUUUCUUGAUUGUAAGGGAUAUAAUCAAAUAAAUAACCACUGUGUUGGCCGCUCUCUUGUAUACCCCACCAAUUGCACGAACUCAUUUCUGGGUAGGUUUUUUCGGAUAUAAUUUUUCUCAUUGAGUUAAGAAGAGAGUACCAAAUACUAAGAUUUAGAAUUAGCAUCAAAGAAUGCUAAGAUAAUGCAAAUGCAGCUAACAUAUUAGUUUAGCGUAGCAGGUGUCUUUCCAUUCGCUGAGCUAAUCGUUCCAUCGGCUGCGGUAUUCGCCGAUACCCACUCGUGGAGGACCUAUAUAUCUUACGCAAAACUUUGCACUCGAAAACUCCUAACGCCAACUCAUCAGAUGUCAUCGUUCAUGCCUCCGCACCAUAUAUCAGUUCGGCAGUGAUGAGCGACUUGUAGAUUUUGGCUUUCAUUCGUCGCAAGAGGUCUUUAUUUUCAAUUGCCUAAUCUGUCUUAAGUGGAACCAGUUAGUAAGUGUGACUCUGCGCUGAAUUUUAAGGCUGACAUUGUUGUGUAGUUUGUUGUUGGUGUUAAUGAUGGUAACAAGACAGACGAAAUCAUCUACGACUCCAAAGAUAUGACUGUCAACAGUAACGUGGGAGCAGAGUUGUAAAUGUGCCGACAGGAGUUAUUUCAUCCUGUCCGCCUUCACUACCAAGCUAAGGAGAUGCGCUUCCUUAUCCAGUGUGAAGAAAGCAGAACUCAUCGGUGUACGCCAGCAGCUAUUCAGCUUUGCAGCUCUUAUUAUUUUCACCAGCAAUAAAUUAAGGAAGUCACACGAUAAGGAGUCACCUUGUUUGAAUCCUCGUUUUGUGUCGGACGGCUCGGAGAUCCUGAUGGUGCUUUUGCUGCUUUCCUUAACGUCAGUCGUAUAAAUUUUGCGGGGAUACCGAAUUCACACUGAUAAGGUCCAAUCAGUUUGUUGACGGUGGGAUUUAGUCUUAAACGGAUUGAACAGAGCACACUAAGGUGCCUUGAUAACUCUUCACCGCCAUGUUAAAAAAGCUCAGCCUGUAAGCCAUUCCCUUCAGCCGCUUUGUUGUUCUUUAUGUGUAUGUGUAUGCUAUUUAUUUUUCUUCAUGUUGUUUCAACAAGUCUAAAAAACAAACUGGGCAAGACCAUCAUACGCUCUGUUUUAUUUAUUGACUAUUUUUUAAUUUUCUACACAGUACGGCAAUAUCGUUUUUGGGCAGUUUCGAGAAGAGCCGCUGUAAUCUGUAAAUACCGAAAUUUCGCCUUUUUCGAGAGCUUUUGUAGAGUUUAUUAGAAAACGCUGGAGAAGUAUAGAUGUAUUAAUAAAAAGUUUAAUUCAUUAACUUUCGAACAGCGUAGGCGGGAAGUGCCCCGCUCUCUCCCUUCGCGCCCGUCAAAUUGGGAUACUUCUGUAACGAUUCCAAUUCAAAGUAUUGAAUGGAAUAUUGUCAAAUUAAACU
rnacentral:lncRNA from 1 species